UUAGGUGAGAACCCUUUGUUAAGCUGUGUAACCUCUGUGCAUAGUUUCCUCAUCAGCAAAGUCAGAAAAAGUAUGUACCUGAAGGACUGAUUGUAAGGCUGGGAUGAGAGAAUCCAUGUGAUCAGCCCUCACCAACAGGUGCUGCCCAGUUCAUGAGUGCUGCUGCUGUCCUGCCCAAGUACCCAGCUUGCAGAGUGCCAGAGUUAGAGUCCCAGGGGUGUUCUCCACAGCUGCAUGCUUGAUCCAGGCCUAUCAGGUGUUAUUUGUUGACGGAACCAGGCAUCAUCAGCAAACAAAACUGACAAAGCUUCCUGCCCUCUGUGGAAGGCAUCUGAGGAAGAGACUGGAUUUUGUAGCAACAUGUUAUUCUCAUUAUAAACUUUAUCAUUGGAAUACUAAAGCCAAAUCAUCCCCCAUCUCCUUGAUCAGGAUACCCACUUAAUCUAGGCAGCUACACAAUUGUGAGAGCCUUUGUUUUUU
rnacentral:lncRNA from 1 species